UUUUUAAUUGCAUCAGUCUUUGCCCAAGGACAAACGACACUAAAAAACAGGAAAACAAGGCAAUAAUUUCAGAUAUUCCACAGUUCAGCCGAUAAGUCACAUUGCAUAUUGCCCGUUACACCCAUUUCAGACCCAUACAGAACCAUUUCUCCGUGAGUUCUUACUCACAGUACAUGAAACAGCCAAUAUCAUAUUGGUCCCCUCAAAAUCCAUUAUCAUCCUAUAUGGUACAUAAUCAACGAUAUUUAAAAACAUGAAUUGGGGCACUUUGUCUUUGAAAUACCAUUUUUUAUUAAAAUUCUUGGUAUAAACCACUACUUUUUCUGACACUUACUGUUUGAAAACAUAACAUCUAAGAUGCAUUUAUUAAGCCAAUGUGAGUCAUUAUACUGCCAGUACCAAGGUGAUUUUACACAGGAAGAGGUCAAGGGGAAAAAGGGUAGGGGAUUUGUUGGGGUGGGGGGGGG
rnacentral:misc_RNA from 1 species